rnacentral:lncRNA from 7 species
CAGCGCCACCCUCCCACCCGCCGGCGUCCGUCCGGUUCGGUCCUUCCUCCCCGAGAUCUCCCGCACCGAAUUCAACGGUGGAAAUGGGCUCUAGGCUGCGCCGCUACGGAGGGAGGACCAGUCCUUGCACCGAUCGAUCGGUGGUGCCCGCGACAGGUGAAUUGCCCCGCCGGCCGGGCAAGCUGCCAAGAUAGGGCGUGCAAGUUGCAUCGCCAUCACCGGUCACCGGCGCGCUACAAACAGAGCGUCAGUGUGCCGCUUAGACAGAUCUGCUCCCUCGCUUGUUGAUGCAGACUGCUUCGUUUGGCGCUUCCUUGUACUACGAAUCUACACGAAGUAUUGGUUUGUUUCAAUUUUUUUUUUUGAGGGGCGUUGCUGCUGUGCUGACAGUACCUACCCCCCAUAGGAUCGUGCUCCGGCCGGGCUUCGCCUGGUGUGGAAAGUUCUGGAAAUGACCUUGAAAUGGAGUGAAAAAAGGAGAGAAAUAAACAGAAAAAAAGGAGUAGUGUGGCCCCAUGCAUGUAACAAGUUAAUUACCGCCGGUUCUCUCCAUGACACACACGUCACGGUGUUAACUUCGUGUCGUCGUCAGACGAAAG